CCUACGGGCGGCAGCAGUGGGGAAUAUUGCACAAUGGGGGAAACCCUGAUGCAGCGACGCCGCGUGAGUGAAGAAGUAUUUCGGUAUGUAACGCUCUAUUCGCAGGAACGAGACAAGAUGGUACCUGACUAAGAAGCCCCGGCUAACUACGUGCCAGCAGCCGCGGUAAUACGUAGGGGGCAAGCGUUAUCAGUAAUCACUGGGCGUAAAGGGACCGUAGACGGUUGUGCAAGCCUGAAGUGAAAGGCGGGGGCCCAACCCCUGGACUGCAGUGGGAACUGUACGGCUGGAGUGCAGGAGAGGUAAGUGGAAGUCGUAGUGUAGCGGUGAAAUGCGUAGAGAUAAGGAAGAACACCAGUGGCGAAGGCGGCUUACUGGACUGUAACUGACGUUGAGGCUCGAAAGCGUGGGGAGCAAACAGGAGUAGAUACCCGAGUAGUC
rnacentral:rRNA from 1 species